CAUCGCCUCCUGCCCACUCAGCAUAGGAGGUCCCGCCUGCCCUGUGACCAAAAGUUUAACGGCCGCGGUAUUUUAACCGUGCAAAGGUAGCGCAAUCAAUUGUCUUUUAAAUGAAGACCUGUAUGAAUGGCAUAACGAGGGUUUAACUGUCUCUUUUUUCAGGUCAAUGAAACUGAUCUGUCCGUGCAGAAGCGGACAUAUUAACACAAGACGAGAAGACCCUAUGGAGCUUUAGACGCCCACCAACCGCGAAAAGCAGCCUACCUAAACAGAUGCUCUAAACAACGCGGUCCUGGUACAAACGUCUUCGGUUGGGGCGACCGCGGAGGAGAACAAAGCCUCCGAGAGGAAUGGGAACAAACCCUAGAACCAAGAGCCACAGCUCUAAGUCACAAAAAAUUUGACCGACAAUGAUCCGGCUUACUGCCGAUCAACGGACCAAGUUACCCUAGGGAUAACAGCGCAAUCCCCUCCCAGAGUCCAUAUCGACGAGGGGGUUUACGACCUCGAUGUUGGAUCAGGACAUCCUAAUGGUGCAGCCGCUAUUAAGGGUUCGUUUGUUCAACGAUUAAAGUCCUACGUG
rnacentral:rRNA from 1 species